rnacentral:rRNA from 1 species
UGGGGAAUUUUGGACAAUGGGCGAAAGCCUGAUCCAGCAAUGCCGCGUGUGUGAAGAAGGCCUUCGGGUUGUAAAGCACUUUUCCUGGGGAAGAAAUCGCUAGGGUGAACAAUCUUAGCGGAUGACGGUACCUGGGGAAUAAGCACCGGCUAACUCCGUGCCAGCAGCCGCGGUAAUACGGAGGGUGCGAGCGUUAAUCGGAAUUACUGGGCGUAAAGGGUGCGUAGGUGGCCUGCUGAGUCCGAUGUGAAAGCCCUGGGCUUAACCUGGGAAUGGCAUUGGAUACUGGUGGGCUGGAGUGUGGCAGAGGGUCGUGGAAUUCCCGGUGUAGCGGUGAAAUGCGUAGAGAUCGGGAGGAACACCCGUGGCGAAGGCGGCGACCUGGGCCAACACUGACGCUGAGGC